UGGGGAAUUUUGGACAAUGGGCGCAAGCCUGAUCCAGCCAUGCCGCGUGCGGGAAGAAGGCCUUCGGGUUGUAAACCGCUUUUGUCAGGGAAGAAAUCUUCUGAGUUAAUACCUCGGGAGGAUGACGGUACCUGAAGAAUAAGCACCGGCUAACUACGUGCCAGCAGCCGCGGUAAUACGUAGGGUGCAAGCGUUAAUCGGAAUACUGGGCGUAAAGCGUGCGCAGGCGGUUUUGUAAGACAGAGGUGAAAUCCCCGGGCUCAACCUGGGAACUGCCUUUGUGACUGCAAGGCUUGAGUGCAGCAGAGGGGGGAUGGAAUUCCGCGUGUAGCAGUGAAAUGCGUAGAUAUGCGGAGGAACACCGAUGGCGAAGGCAAUCCCCUGGGCCUGCACUGACGCUCAUGCACGAAAGCGUGGGGAGCAAACAGGAUUAGAUGCCCCUGGUAGUCACGCCCCUAAAACCGAUGUCAACUGGUUGUUGGGAAGGUUCCUUCUCAGUAACGUAGCUAACGCGUGAAGUUGACCGCCUGGGGAGUACGGCCGCAAGGUUGAAACUUAAAGGAAUUGACGGGGU
rnacentral:rRNA from 1 species